rnacentral:rRNA from 1 species
GAUGAACGCUAGCGAUAGGCUUAACACAUGCGAGUCGAGGGGCAGCAUGGUCUUAGCUUGCUAAGACUGAUGGCGACCGGCGCACGGGUGCGUAACGCGUAUGCAACUUGCCUCACAGAGGGGGAUAACCCGUCGAAAGACGGACUAAUACCGCGUACACUCCAUCUUGGGCAUCCAAGGUAGAGGAAAUGAAAUUCGCUGUGAGAUAGGCAUGCGUCCCAUUAGCUAGUUGGUGAGGUAACGGCUCACCAAGGCGACGAUGGGUAGGGGAACUGAGAGGUUGAACCCCCACACUGGUACUGAGACACGGACCAGACUCCUACGGGAGGCAGCAGUGAGGAAUAUUGGUCAAUGGGCGAGAGCCUGAACCAGCCAAGUCGCGUGAAGGAUGACUGUCUUAUGGAUUGUAAACUUCUUUUAUACGGGAAUAACAAGAGUCACGUGUGACUCCCUGCAUGUACCGUAUGAAUAAGCAUCGGCUAACUCCGU